rfam:Myotis davidii contig147740, whole genome shotgun sequence.
GGUGGUUCUUGGGUGACGCACCCCAGAAUCAGGCUCCCUCCUCACUGGUUUCAGGUGCAUCACCCAAGAACUGCC